rnacentral:rRNA from 1 species
GAUAAACGCUGGCGGCGUGCCUAAAACAUGCAAGUCGAACGGAUGACUUCGGUCAUCAGUGGCGAACGGCUGAGUAACGCGUGGGUGACCUCGCUCCGAGUGGGGGAUAACUGCCCGAAA